rnacentral:rRNA from 1 species
AUUGAACGCUGGCGGCAGGCCUAACACAUGCAAGUCGAACGAGUGGCGGACGGGUGAGUAAUGUCUGGGAAACUGCCUGAUGGAGGGGGAUAACUACUGGAAAAGGUAGCUAAUACCGCAUACCAUCAGAUGUGCCCAGAGGGGAUUAGCGAGUUGGUGGGGUAACGGCUCACAAAGGCGACGAUCCCUAGCUGGUCUGAGAGGAUACACGGCCACACUGGAACUGAUACACGGUCCAGACUCCUACGGGAGGCAGCAGUGGGGAAUAUGGCACAAUGACAGAAAGCCUGAAGCAGCCAUGCCGCGUGUAUGAAGAAGGCCUUCGGGUUGUAAAGUACUUUCAGCGGGGAGGCGUUACCCGAAGAAGAAGCACCGGCUAACUCCGUGCCAGCAGCCGCGGUAAUUC